rnacentral:piRNA from 1 species
UGGAGGUUGCAAUUGNUCAUAAGACAUAUG